CACGUAGGGUGCGAGCGUUGCCCGGAAUUAUUGGGCGUAAAGAGCUCGUAGGCGGUGUGUCGCGUCGGCCGUGAAAACCUGCAGCUUAACUGUGGGCUUGCGGUCGAUACGGGCAUCACUGGAGUUCGGCAGGGGAGACUGGAAUUCCUGGUGUAGCGGUGAAAUGCGCAGAUAUCAGGAGGAACACCGGUGGCGAAGGCGGGUCUCUGGGCCGAUACUGACGCUGAGGAGCGAAAGCGUGGGGAGCGAACAGG
rnacentral:rRNA from 1 species